rnacentral:rRNA from 1 species
AACGAACGCUGGCGGCAUGCCUAACACAUGCAAGUCGAACGAGACCUUCGGGUCUAGUGGCGCACGGGUGCGUAACGCGUGGGAACCUGCCCUUAGGUUCGGAAUAACUCCCCGAAAGGGGUGCUAAUACCGGAUAAUGUCUUCGGACCAAAGAUUUAUCGCCUUUGGAUGGGCCCGCGUUGGAUUAGCUAGUUGGUAGGGUAAAAGCCUACCAAGGCGACGAUCCAUAGCUGGUCUGAGAGGAUGAUCAGCCACACUGGGACUGAGACACGGCCCAGACUCCUACGCGAGGCAGCAGUGGGGAAUAUUGGACAGUGGGCGGAAGCCUGAUCCAGCAAUGCCGCGUGAAUGAUGAAGGCCUUAGAGUUGUAAAGCUCUUUUACCCAGGAUGAUAAUGACAGUACCGGGAGAAUAAGCCCCGGCUAACUCCGUG